CGCUGGGAAAUGUAGUCCGCCUGCGUUGAGGUAAAUCCCGAGGGGGGUGCGGGUCGCGCAUGGCGGUGGUCUUCUCUCCCCCGCCUCCCCCUCAGGGAAGGUAUUUCAGUUGCCUCCUUGGGAGGAUUGAAACGCCGUGCUUGCCCCCGCCGAGGCCCCGUGCUCCCAACAGCGGCUCGCCCCACAAACAAGAGGAGGAAGACCCCCAGUUACGGGGGGGAAAGGCCGCCGCAGGCCAGCCGGAGGGGCCUCUGGUCAAGCCUCGCAGCAUAAAGGCCCGGUGCCCCCCUCCCCGCCUCACCACGCCGACACCGGAGUCGUGGAAAGGAGGAGUAUGAGGAUGGGUUUCAUGUCCCUGGUGUCAUGGAGGGUUCCUCAGGCCAGAUGUUGGACUCCCUGGGCCUCUGCUGCUGAAGGACUCUGGGGUUUUGUGAUGAUCCACAGGCUCCACUAGAAGAUGCGUUAAUAUUUCCGAUUUAGACCUGAAUGUGAAGAAUGACACAUCCCACUGUAAGUGUUGUAAGAUUACAAAAUACAUUUUGGGGGGUUUAGUCUGUUUAAUUGAAGUCUGUGGUUUGUUUUUGCCUGCUUUGGUCAGGA
rnacentral:lncRNA from 1 species